rnacentral:lncRNA from 1 species
CAAGCAUUAACAACUAUAGGUCACCGUACGGCCUUCAACAAUGAGCAAAGCCCAUACCGCAUAGUCAGCUAUAAAAGGACCCGAUAAGACAAUGUAAAACAAUUCAAACGAGAAAACUAACGGCCUCAUUUAUGUAAAAAAAAAUGAACGAAAAACAAAUAUGUAACACAUAAACAAACGACAACCACUGAAUUACAGGCUCCUGACUU